rnacentral:rRNA from 1 species
GCCGGCAGCUAGCUCUCUGCAACUCUCACAUGGUCGCCCACUAAAGCUAAGCAGGGCUGCGCCCAGUCAGUACCUGGAUUGGAGACCACAUGGGAAAGCUGGAUUGCUGCUGGAA